GUUCAUCACAGUCUAAAGGUUAAAACUCUUCAGCUCACGUCUCUCUAGGAGUUUCUGUGUGAUCAGAUUCUUGUGCUUUUAUUAAAUCAUUGUGGUGAUAUCUCGGGAUUCUCAACACAAAGACAUCACAGACAGCUAAUGUGGAUAUUUCUAAACUUCAUUGAUUCUGCCUUCACGGUCACUAUAAGAUACAAUAAUGCCUGACAUAACACAUCAAACCAUACAGAACAUCAAACAUCAGAUAAUAGGCCCACAACAAACCAACACGAAAAUAUCUCUGAAGAUUUUUAAACAGGAAAGCAUGGAGCACAAACCAAACAUUGCUCAUGAUGCAAACAGAUCAGAAGAGAGUCACUCUUAUCAGAUAUAAGGACAAAACAAUGUGUGAAGCUGGAAUAGAUCAAGAUGAAGCAGAAACAAAGCAAUGACACAAGAACAAAUGACACUAACAACAGCAGUACGAUGAAAGACAAUCAUUUAAUAUCCAGCUCUAUUUCUAUUUAAUAAACAAAUUAACAAUACGUUUUAUUUUUGUACAUAUUUAAAUGGGUAGAUAAUGUUGGAGAUUUCAAAUGUUGUUUUGUAAUUCUGUGUAACACUCAAGAAAUUAAAAAUAAAAAUGUUUCUUUCUUGUAUUUAACUAUUGAGUAACUAUAAUUACGGCAUGACAUAUAACCAUAAAAACACAGAUGAAAACUGUAAGAAACUCAAACCUCAAAAAAUACACAGGAACAUAACAUAAAAAUAAAUAGAAACAUACAUCAAAUAUAAUGGUAAUGAAAGGAAACACUAAACUAAUAUUCAGACUAAAAUAUAUAUUAUAUAACUUUACUGUAAAUGAUGUAAAUUACAUUUCUUCUCUGUGUUCACUGUUCAUGUCACUCAGUAAAUUAUUUUUAUGUUGUU